rnacentral:lncRNA from 1 species
ACCACUUUAAGGCCAAGUAUUUACAUUCCAAAACUAUUUCCAUUUCACUACUCAAAAAUAAUAAAAAUAAGCCAAAUAAAUGGCUACCACAUCAACCAAAAUACCUAUACAUGCCAUUAUAAUCAGACUUAAAAACAUCAAAAUCUACCAAUAUAGCCGAUGGAUAGUGUGAUAGGCCUCUGACGAACUUCCAACCUGGUUGAGAUUCCGAUUAACUACAAACAUAGAAAAAUAAACACAAGGUGAGAAUGUUAUGCUUAGUAAGUUCGUAUCGAAUAUAGUUUAAGCUUAUCAAUACAUCACAAAAUCUCAAAGCAUAUAUAAAUCAAUCCAACAUGGCAAUAGCUAAAGUAUAAGCUUAGGUAUAUGAAUUUAUGCUCUUCAUUGUCGCAAAAGUACACACUUCCUACCUUCCAUCAUAAUAAGGUAAAUUACAUUUAAAAGCUCUAACCGAAGCUCACACGAAGUAAUAACACGAUGGUUGACACAUCCCUUUCCGUAAUUCGAUAGCCAAAGCGAUCCCUUUUCAUAAUUUUGAUGGUCGUCACCAUCCCUUUUCAUUGUUGAUGGUCGUCACCGUCAUUUUUCAUAGUUUGAUAGUAAGAGCUGUCCCUUUUCAUGACUUGGUAGCCGAGGCUACCCUUUUUCAUAAUUUUGAUGGUAGUCACCAUCCCUGUUCAUUGUUGAUUGUCAUCACCAUCCCUUUUCAUAGCUCGAUAGCCAGAGCUAUCCCUUUUCAUUUUUCAAUGAUCAUCAAUACGCUGUUGGGUUUCGACGUUGAGACACAAUUUGAUAUUAUACAAUAAUAACAUUCAAAUCAUAAAUUUAAAACGCUAUUUAAACAUACGAACUUACCUCGACGAUAAACGUAAAAAUGGAGUCAAUUGAUCUAAAGCUUUUUCUUUGCCUCAAUCUAGAGCCAUACAUGGUCUAUCUUGAUCUAAAUGAAUAAAUUCGAUCAAUUUAAUAACUAUUUUAUUAAAUUCAACCCAAAUUCAUAUUUUAGAAAAUUUAUAAUUUUAUCCCUAUACUUUUGAUUUCUUUUCAAUUUUGUCUCUAACUCAUAAAACUGAAAAUUCAUGCAAUUCAACCUCAUCUCAUCAUAGCCGAACAUCAUAUAGGUCCCUAGAAAGCCCUAUAUUUCAUUUUUUCAUAAUUUCACCAUGUAUAAUUUUCUAGUUUUCAAUUUAAUCCCCUAUUUGACAAUUUCAUCAAAAUCACUUAACAAAAGUUGUAUACCUAGCAACAACAAACCAUUUUAUUCCAUAAAACAUAAAAACAUAUACACAUUUAUUCAUGGAAAACAUUCUAAUAGUUUAACAGUUUCACAAAUUAGUCCCCGGGCUAGCUAGAUUAAGCUACAACGAUCCCGAAAACAUAAAAGUAAUUAAAAACGAAACUAAAGUACAUACCACACAAGCAAGGUGAAGUUGCCAAAAUUUAAAGCUCUUCAAUGGCUUAUUCUUAGGCCUAGUUUUGGUGGAUAAUGGAUGAAAGAAGAUGAUAAUAUAAUUUGUUUUAUUUUUCUUAACAUUAUUUAACUAAUUACCAUUAUAUCAUUUUAAAACAUUAAAAUUUUCACUAAUACCAAGCCAUCAUAUUUCACUAUCAACAUUUAUGGUCUAAUUACCAUAUAAGGACUCAAAGUUUAAGGUUUUAUAGCUAUUUAAUACCUUUAGCUACUAGAAGUCAACUUUUGCACUUUAUGUGAUUUAGUCCUUUUUAUCAAAUUAAGCAUGUAAACGGUAAAAUUUCUUAACGAAAUUUUUAUACGGUACUACUAUCAUGCUGUAGAAAAUUAAAUAAAAAUAAAAUAAACAUUUUGACAUUGAAUUUGUGGUCCCAAAACCCUCGUUUUGGUUUAACUAAAAACGGGCUAUUACAAGUUGCUUUCAUAAAAAGUAUACAAUAAAGAGUUUUCAUUCAUAGUUCUUCUUGUGGAUUGACUCAUUGAUUAAGUAAAUUGUGGAUUAUCAGAAUGAUGCUUCUAGACGUAAUUGCAAUUACUAGAGCCUAAUUUUAUAUGUUUGAUUGGUCCCUCCGCUUGCUGAACAAAAGCUCGAUCAGACUGCAUUUGAAUAAAAAAAAUGUAUAACGUUGGAAAUAAUUUAAUUGAGUCAAUUUAUUCGAUGAGAAUUAUACAAAUGGAGAAUUUGAUUAAAUAAUUUUCUUAAAAAAUUAAUUUAGGAAAUCUAUGUAAUUUUUGGGAAAAUUAAUUUUGAUUAAGUAAAAUUGUAACACCCCUAACCUGUUUCUGUCACCAAAAUAAGGUUACGGAGCAUUACCAUAAAACCAUAACAUCACAACAUUCAUUUUUAAACAUUUCAUUAAGCAUAGCAAAUUCCACACAUACACAUGUUUAUUGUCUCUUAAUCGAGCCUUGCAGGCCCUAGAAACACUUUAGAAACAAUUCAGGACUAAAUCGGGAAUAUUUAAAACAUUAAGGAGAAAGUGAGAAAAAUUGAAGCUGCAGAGGUAACACGGCUGAGAAACACGCCCAUGUCUUAGGCCAUGUAAAAUCUGAAAUAGGGACACACAGCUGUGUCCCAACCCGUUUCCGUGCUCAUGUAACUCUUUAACUUGGAUUACACGGUCAACCUUCAAAAUCACCUUACACGCCCGUCUACCAGGUCGUGUAACUUUUAAAAAGCAACAUUUAAAACCAAAAGGGGACACACGGCCGUCUCGCAUGGUUGUGUGUCACACACGGUUGUGACACGCCAGUGUCUUAGGCAGUGCGGACAAGAAAUUGGCUAAAAUUCAUGCCAUUUCUUUCACCCAUUCAAGCUUGAACCUAAAAUUAAAUUGCACAUAUCAUUAAGACCUUAAAACAUACCUAAACAUACAUAAUAUGACCAAUUCAAAUGACCACAUUCCAUUAAACUAAUAUGCCAUAUAAUUUUCUUAAAAAAUUAAUUUCGAAAAUCUAAGUAAUUUUUGGGAAAAUUAAUUUUGAUUACGUAAAAUUCUAACACCCCUAACCUGUAUCUGUCACCGGAAUAGGGUUAUGGAGCAUUACCGUAAAACCAUAAUAUCACAACGUUCAUUUCUAAAUAUUUCAUUGAGCAUAGCAAAGUCCACACAUACACAUGCUUAUUGCCCCUUAAUCGAGCCUUCCAGGCCCUAGAAACACUUUAGAAACAAUUCGGGACUAAAUCAGGAAUAUUUAAAACAUUAAAGAGAAAGAUAGAAAAAUUUAAGCUGCAGGGGUCACAUGGCUGGGAAACACCCCGUGUCUCAAGCCAUGUAAAAUUAGAAAUAGGGACACACAGCAGUGUCACAACCUGUGUCCGUGCUCAUGUAACUCUAUGACUUGGGUUGCAUGGUGAACCUUCAAAAUGACCUUCCAUGCCCGUGUGCCAGUCGUGUAACUUUUGAAAAGAAACCUUUAAAACCUAUAGGGGACACACGACCGUGUCGCAUGGUUGUGUGUCACACACGGUUGCGACACACGCCCGUGUCUUACCAUGUGCACAAGAAAUUGGCUAAAAUUCAAGCCAUUUCUUUCACCCAUUCAAGCUUGAACCUACAAUUAACUUGCGCAUAUAAUUAAGACCUUAAAACAUACCUAAACAUCAAUAAUAUGACCAAUUCAAAUGACCAAAUUCCAUUAAACUAAUAUGCCAUAUAAUUUUCUUAAAAAAUCAAUUUGGAAAAUCUAUGUAAUUUUUGGGAAAAUUAAUUUUGAUCAAGAAAAAUUGUAACCCCUUAACCUAUAAUUGUCACCGAAAUAGGGUUACGGAGCAUUACCUUAAAACCAUAACAUCACAAAAUUCAUUUCUAAGAAUUUCAUUAAGCAUAGGAUAGUCCAUACGUACACAUACUUAUUGUCCCUUAAUCGAGCCUUCCAUGCCCCAGAAACACUUUAGAAAUAAUUCGAGACUAAAUCGGGAAUAUUUAAAACAUUAAGGAGAAAGUUACAAAAAUUUAAGCUGUAGGGGUCACACGGCUGAGAAACAUGCCCAUCUCUCAAGCCAUGUAAAAUUUGAAAUAGGGACACACAGCUGUGUCCCAGCCCGUGUCCCUGCUCAUGUAACUCUCUGACCUGGGUUACACGGUCAACCUUGAAAAUCACCUUACAUGCCUGUGUGCCAGGUUGCGUAACUUUUGAAAUGCCACAUUUAAAACGUAUAGGGGACACACGGCCGUGUCGCAUGGUUGUGUGCCACACACGGUCGUGACACACCCAUGUGUCUUAGGCCGUGUGGACAAGAAAUUGGCUAAAAUUUAAGUUAUUUCUUUCACCCAUUCAAGCUUGAACCUACAAUUGACUUGCCCAUAUAAUUAAGACCUUAAAACAUACCUAAACAUACAUAAUAUGACCAAUUCAAAUGACCAAAUUCCAUUAAACUAAUAUGCCAUAUAAUUUUCUUAAAAAAUUAAUUUUGAUUAAGUAAAAUUGUAACACCCUUAACUUGUAUCUGUCACCGGAAUAGGGUUACGGAGCAUUACCGUAAAACCAUAACAUCACAACAUUCAUUUCUAAACGUUUCCUUAGGCAUAGCAAAGUCCACACAUACACAUGCUUAUUGUCGCUUAAUCGAGCCUUCUAGGCCCUAAAACCACUUUAGAAAUAAUUUGGGACUAAAUCAGGAAUAUUUAAAACAUUAAGGAGAAAGUUAGAAAAAUUUAAGCUGCAGGGGUCACACGACUGAGAAACACGCCCAUGUCUCAAGCCAUGUAAAAUUUGAAGUAGGGACACACAGCUGUGUCCCAGCCCGUGUCCGUGCUCAUGUAACUCUCUGACCUGGGUUACACGGUCAACCUUCAAAAUCACCUUACAUGCCUGUGUGCCAGGUCGUGUAACUUUUGAAAAGCCACAUUUAAAACCUAUAGGGGACACACGGUCGUGUCGUUGGUAGCUAUCGUUACGACCACCGAAUUUUAUCCACUACUCAGCCAAUAUUAACUGGUAAUAUAGAGUAAGUAAGGACUCGUCCCACGAAGAAGCUCGUGUUAAACCUAUUUGAGAAGAAUUGAAAAUAAGAUAAUGUAAACGCAUGCAAGAUAGUAAAAUGGGGGGAUUUAUGCUAAAAAUGAUCUAAAGUAACGAAUAAAUUGAUUUGUGAAUGCUGAAAAAUUGUCGAAUUAAAGAGAGAGGAUGCUCAGUUAUUGACGCCUUAAUCCACCAAGCACAAGUCCUUUGCGAUCUUAAAUUAUUUAAGUAGUCCAAUCUAGCAACAAGGCUGAAAAUUCACUUACGAAGUGAAUUCCUAUCCCCAAAUAAAUUUAAAUUCAAUUAGAGAACAUUUGUAAUUGAAGCCCUACCUUUAAUUAUUCUUUGUUGGCUAAUUAAAAAAUGCAUUCAGUAUUUUAGAGACUUCACCUUGUGUUAAUUAAAGAAAAUCUUCCAGCGGCUUCCAAAAUCAAAUCUGUAGUUGAGUCAAUUAGUGGCAUGCCAAUUAAUCAUCACCAGUUCUAAGUGAAAUUAAGAAAUUCGAUUACUCAAUUGCACUUAGCUGAUUAUGAGAAAAAUCCUAAAUUGAAUAGGUGAUCAAUCUAAUUAAUUUAGAAAAAUUCCUUGAACGAGAAAACUUAGCAAUUUAAGAAUGCUAAAUUCGAAUUUAAAACAAAUUAAGUCUUCAAAUUCCUUGUGCUAGGCUUCAUGAGUGUCUAACUUAAGCUUAAGUAUUCAGCCACUCAUAGCAAGUAAAGCAAAACCAAAGUCAAUUAUAAAUAACAUGAGUUACAUACUGAAUUUUUGGAAAAGAAAUUCCUCAAAUCGUCGAGCUUCCUUCCUUUCACUUAGCUGAAAUCUUUAAGCUGCUAUUCUAGCUGCUUAAUCGGCUUAUGCUAGUUCAAUUAGAGAAUUUUCCUGCUCAGUUGUGAUGCCCCUCUACUGUCUCUCUUCUGUUUUUCGACUCCCCUUUUAAAGCUGCUACCCGCCUCUUUUUAUGGAAAAAUUAACAGCCUCCCGCAAAAUCAAAAAU